rnacentral:rRNA from 1 species
UGGGGAAUAUUGCACAAUGGGCGGAAGCCUGAUGCAGCGACGCCGAGUGGGGGAUGACGGCCUUCGGGUUGUAAACCUCUUUCAGUGCAGAACAAGGCUCUUUGUGGGUUGAGGGUAUGCGCAGAAGAAGCGCCGGCUAACUACGUGCCAGCAGCCGCGGUAAUACGUAGGGCGCGAGCGUUGUCCGGAUUUAUUGGGCGUAAAGAGCUCGUAGGCGGUUUGUCGCGUCUGCUGUGAAAUCCUCUGGCUUAACUGGGGGCGUGCAGUGGGUACGGGCAGGCUGGAGUGCGGUAGGGGAGACUGGAAUUCCUGGUGUAGCGGUGGAAUGCGCAGAUAUCAGGAGGAACACCGGUGGCGAAGGCGGGUCUCUGGGCCGUUACUGACGCUGAGGAGCGAAAGCAUGGGGAGCGAGCAG